UCAAUUGAUACGAGCAGAAAGCCACAUCGAACCACCGUGGUCGUAGCUUCUGAUUCUCACCGUACGAUCAUAAUAAGGAGCUGAAGGAUUCAGUCUCGUCACGCUAUUUUCGAGGAGACCAAUGAUGGAUCCGAAUCAGGUGGCAGAGCUGAGAAGAGUCGUCAUGAUGCAUCAUUCGUCUUCAUGAUCCUUCUCUGGUUUUCUUCAAGGAGUAUCUCCGAAGUUUAGGAGCUCCUGUUCCCAAGAUUGAGAAAACUGUACGGUGUCUCUCGUAUCGCAACUCUCAUGUCUUGUGUUUGGAGCAUUGGUAGAAAUAUCGACGCCUGAGGAAAGAAAAGGAGCUUCAAAGGGCUGAACGCGAGAGACAACAACAGCAAGAAUUGAAAAACUAUAGUGCCGUUGUAGAGCUCUCUCUCUCUUUGUAUAAUUUUACAUUCUUAGCAGAAAGCACAUAAGCCUGAUUCUUCUCCAUGAGCGAGAAGCUCAGGCUGCACUCAAAGACGGGCAAGUGAUUGGCAUCCAUUCAACAAGCGAACUAGAAGCAAAGAAAAAGGCCGCUAAGAAGGCAUCGCGUC